AAUUGUUCGGUCAAGCUACUAAGAGCACAUGGUGGAUGCCUUGGCGUCAGAAGGCGAUGAAGGACGUGAUAAGC
rnacentral:rRNA from 1 species